rnacentral:misc_RNA from 1 species
CUUGAUUCCCUCUAAAGAACCUGUCGCCUGCAGCUCUACGUCCUGCAUGUUUUACAAAAUUGCCAAUUGACCUGUUUUCUUGCGUACCAACUACCAAUGCCAUUCAGAAUCUCGUUUACCGCAUUAAAAUUUUUGUCUGAACACUUGUUUUCAGUUACAGAGGUGGAUUCUGAUUCUUCGCAAAUCACAAUCAUUGGAAAUCAACUUCUAACUUAAAAUCAGUCAUGCCACAUCCCUGCAAAUGGGUUUCAAUAAAAAGUGUAGGGAUUGGGCAAGAUGGACAGUCUUUGGAGCUGUAUAAAUUUUAUGUUCGAAAAAA